GUUGAGAUGAGAGAAAAAAUGUUGAAAAUGUUGAGAUGAGAGAGAAAAUAUCUUUCAUGACAACAGUAGGGAUGACAGAGAAAACAUGGAGUGAGAGAGAUGACAGAGAAAAUGUUGAAAAUGUUGGAGCGAGAGAGAUGAAAGAGAAAGGGUUGAGAGGAAUGAAGGGGUGAGUAAGAGUUUAUGGGUUUCUUUUUUUUUUUUUAGUUUUGAGAAUGAAAAUUAUUUAAAUAUCCUUAACCUUAAAACUUAGAAUCCAUGAUAAAUGAGGGUAUUUUUGUCUACUAUAAUCCAGUACGCAUUGUUAAAAUGUACCUUGAAAACAGGCAUACGCGUGUUAACAAACCCAUAUAUAUAUAUAUAUAUAUAUAUA
rnacentral:lncRNA from 1 species